GUGAAGUUUUGUUUUUCUUUGAAUGUUUGUGGUAAUUUAUAUUUAAAGAUAAUAUGACUGCUUAUCUCAUAAUCAUACAAUGGAAUUGUUUAAUCUUGUCUUUGAAUAUGGGAGUUUAAAUAUUUUCUGCUUGUUAUAUGUCCUUGAACAAAUUAUUACUCUCUCUAAGCUUAAUUUCUUCAUCUAUAAACUAGAAGACCUAAUACUAAGCAGUUAUUUUGAAGUCGUAUUCAAUUUUAAAUUUACCUAGUGCUCUCAUUGAAGUUUUCUAAUAUAACUUAAUCUUAUAUUGUGAGCAUAGUGACUUUAGGCACUGUUUUACUAUUUUAUCUAUAAUAUAUAAAGCUGGAGAAAUAUCAUACUUCAAAUGUCCUUUAACUUCCUCACACUUUGCCACUCUCAAGUUCCAUAACUAGCAUAAAUUUUAUUCAAUUAUUUAAUAUAUACUAUCACAAAUGGAUGCUAAAUAAGAUUAUUUCUAUUUCAAUUUUAUCUAUAAUACUAAAGUAAAAAAUUUCAAGUAACAACCCCAUUUCUAAUUAAAGAGUUAGAUCUCCUAAGCUGAUUUGAAAAUUGGAAGUCAACUACAGCACCUCAGGAGACUACUGGGAAUAUCCAUUCUCUGGAAUUUAAGGAGCAUAAGACCUGGUUGGAAGGUUGCUGCUACGCUGGCCAAGGCCAGCCAAAUAGAGAAGAAGGAUGCGCUGCCUUUACUGUAAUCAAAGAAAGCAUUCAUGUAUGUUCUCUGGAUCUAAUGUGGACUUAAAUGGAUGGCUCUACCUGGAGCCUUUAUGAGGGUCUCUGUCCAGGAUGGGCCCUUAAAGGUACUGGAUAACCUGGCAGAUGGAUGGACUGUCAGGAUCUCAAUGGCUGUACUUGGGAGUCAUAGACUCCCACUAUCAAGACAAAGUACAAUCAAGCAUUGCACAAGUCAUAAUACUUUAAUUUUGCUAAUCCUCAGAGGUUUCAUGAUGAGUACGAUGUGAAUGAAAGUGACCAAGUUCCUUUCAUUCUGAUUGCAACAUUCCUGCUGAAGCUCUUGUUCCUCUACAAACUAAUAGAAUGAGAUGGGAGAUGUCAGGAGGAUUGAAUAUUUAUCCUGGACUCAUCUGACCUUUGCUCACAUAUUGUGUCACAUGUUAACCAAAAUGACCUCAGAAUCUCCUUGGCAGCCGCUUCAGAAAAGAGGACUCGCUUGUCUGGCCUUGAAUUUCAAAUGUGUUUUCUAUAAGCACAAGGUGUCUUUCCAGUUCUGUUGUGCAGCCGUGCAGGCGAUCAUGUGCUUCCUCUUCUGGAAGUCAGGGCUGGCUGUUUAAAACAAGCCCUACCCUUCCAUUAGUAUUUCUUUACUAAAUAAUUGGUUUGUUGAAAUAAGCCACUUUUCCCUUCAACUUUUUGUUGUUGCUGCUGUUCUUAAUUUUUACCAUGCUUUGACAAAUGUCACAAACAUUUUUUACACAGAGCAUAUCAGGUUAUCAUAACAUUUAUAGUCUUAUGUAGAAAGUAGAAUCUAGGAGGUCACAUUUAAUUUGAGCAUAUGUAUUUAGAUUGUUAGGGAAGAAAGUCAUAUGCACUUUCCUUUUAGGAUAAUUAUCUUUAGCUAUACAUUUUAUUUUGUAAUUUUUAAGGGCUACCUAGCUCAAGGAUAUGUCUACAAGUAGUUAAUUAUGAGUUAAUGUUCUUCCCCAUGCAGAUUGAAUAAAUAACUAUACUUUUCCAUAACUUACAAUAACUGUAUGUGCUAGAUAAUUUUUUAAAUGUGAUGGUUAUUCAAUUCAUUUUGAACUCAGGAAUCAAAUUUUUAGGACUUAAUCUUGCAGCUCUGAGUAGCACUAGAGAGUGUAGCUGAAAUAGAGGGUAGAUUCUAGUCAUUUUGUAAGAGUAUGCUAUUUGGAAGAGAAAUUUAAAAUUUUAAAUACACACAUAAAAUAUUUAUUUUAUCUACUUAAAGAGAAAUGCAAUAGAAAAAUAUUAGAAAUAAUUAUUACGUAUACAUCACUAUUAAAAUUCAUAAAUAUUACUUUACAUGUUUUCUUCUAAAUCUUAUUUUUGUUCCAAAGAGAGUACUGCAAUUUACUUAACCAUGUUAUCAAUAUAUGGUAUUUAGGUUCUUCCUGAUACUAUUCCUAUUUUAAAUAAUCUUAGGCAAAUAUCGUCAUUCAUAAAUUAUUUUCCUUCUUUGGACUUUUAUAAGAUAAAUCAUCAAAAAAAGGAUUAACAGAUUAAUUGUAUAAACAUUUAAAAAAGUUUUAUAACAUUGUUUCUCCUUAACAUUGCAUUAACCUCUAAUAAUAUCUUUAAUAAGUGUUCAUUACAGAAAAAUUGGAAAAAAAUAUAAACAAUAGAAAGAAUAUGAAAGUGAUUACCACCUAGUGGUAAGUACUCAUAAUGUUUUAAGGUAAGUUUAUAAAUACAUUUAAUGCUUUUGAAACAUAUUGUCAAAACUCUUGCAUAAAUACUUCUAAAAUUUGCAUCAUUACUAAUUGAAAACUAAGCUAAAUGUUUAUUUGCAUUGGGGACUGUCAUUAUUUUUGACUUUUGUUAAUUUAAAGUUGAAGCGUGGUGUCCAUUAAGAUACCUUUAAAAACACAUUUUUUUCUUAAUUACUUUUAACUCUUUGAUUGUUUCCUCCUUAACUGUGUGACUAAUUUUUAGUUCCCAGAAUAAAAUGGUCUUGGCCUAAAUUCUAAAGUUUUCAAAUUAAGAAAAUUUGCUUUUGUACUUAUUUAAAGUUGUUUAGAUUGAAUGUGCCUUAGUUAUUUUGACGUUAUUCCUAAUGAUCUGUAAAGAAUUGCCCAGGGAAAUAUAAUAGUGCUUAUUUUCAGAAAUAAGGAACUGUAGUGAGUAAAAGAAAAAUGUCAGUGAAGUGUUACUCUCCUAUGAAGAUGUAAAUCAUAACUAUCUAAUAAUGAGGAAUCUUCUAGUAAGGGGUUAUGAGGUCAGCUUUCGUAGCUUCAUUAGGAUGAGUUAAAAUGGAAACAACUUAAAUGUUUAAAAAAAUGUUUGUCUAUAACUAUAUCUAAAACAAAUGUGCAUACUAUAUACAUUUUUCUUAUUUUAAACUCAGGAGAACUCUGAAUUAUUUAGAUGAGCAAUACAUUUUUUCUUUUGUUUUUAGCUAAAACUUUUAUGCUUGUAAACCCAUUUAUCCUAUCUUUGAUGAUUCUGAUAGAACAUAAGCAUAAUGGAAAUGUGUCUGAAAGCUGCAUAGGAACAACUAGCCCCUGCCCUCAAAAAAAAAUUAAUG
rnacentral:lncRNA from 10 species